rnacentral:rRNA from 1 species
UACGUAGGGUGCAAGCGUUAAUCGGAAUGACUGGGCGUAAAGGGUGUGUAGGCGGUUUGUUAAGUCGGAUGUGAAAGCCCCGGGCUCAACCUGGGAACUGCGUUGGAAACUGGCAAACUAGAGUACGUAAGAGGGGGGUGGAAUUCCGCGUGUAGCAGUGAAAUGCGUAGAGAUGUGGAGGAACACCGAUGGCGAAGGCAACCCCCUGGGACGAUACUGACGCUGAGGCACGAAAGCGUGGGGAGCAAACAGG